rnacentral:lncRNA from 1 species
AUUUUUUGUGCCUGCGCAUAUAUCUGAGAAGCGUGAGUUUGUCAUUAAUUGUUUAUCAAGACAUAGGAUAGGUUGUGUGAAAAUAUUACUGAUGUUUAACGUUAAAAAUGGACCAAAAGAUUAAUGCUAAACAACGUUUGACAUGUUUGAACGAACCUAAAUAGAUUAUUUACUAGGUUUUUUAGCUUUUCGGCGUGAUUUUACAACCCCCCCCACCACGUUUUGUGGGAGCAUAAUGAACGCUAACUACUUGGUGUUAUUUGGACAUAAAUUAUGAACUUUGUCAAAAGAAACCACAUUUGUUCCGGACCUGGGAUUCCUGGCAGUGCCUUCUGAUGGAGAUAAUCAAAGGUAAUUCUAAUGGGCAUCAUGCCUACUCUGGACCUGAACCAACUGGAUCCUAUGCCAAAGCAAGUGUGGUGCCUAGUCCAAAUGCUAAAGCUACUGGCCACAAUGCCACGUCAGCAGAAGCUACUGGCCACAAUGCCACGUCAGCAGAAGCUAUUGGCC